UACGGGAACGCCAUGAAUAUUCAUAGGAGCAAAACUUAGAGCGCCAACAAGUAAGCAUGUCAUGCUGUGCAUACAUCAUCAGCUAUGUGAAUUCACACUCAAUAACAAUUUAAAUAGACAUAAAUGGUACAGAUUAACAAUUGGUAAGAUGCAAUCUCCACUCUUGUUUAAUGCCGUCCAUCUGUGUCAAUGUCGAGGAUUAGAUCAAUAUAUGGAGCAAACCUUCAAUGAUAAUGAUAUGUAAUCACUAUAUGAAUUGUGCUCGUUUGAGUAACAGAAUGUCGUCAAUAUACACAACAGUGAAUUUUGCAAGAUAUUUUUUUCUAGUCUUUACAGGUUCUAAAUGAAUUCUGCUUCAAACGAGUACAAAAAUGAGUCAGACAGUAGUUGUGCUCAAUUAGUAUGCAUUUAACUACUAUAUGCUGAAAUAGCUAUCCACCAAACUCAACCAAUAUAUAGUCUACAAUGUUCGCUAUACUUGUUGCACGAAUCAGUGUGCUUUUUACAAAGUAGAAUUUUAAUGGCUCAAAACAAGACAUUUCGCUAGUUGAAACUACAUCAUUCAAAUAUUUCAAACAGCAAUCUUAAAACCUAAAUGUUAAUCAACACAAUUAAUUAUAAGUUACUACAAGUUAAUGUCGGGAGUCUGAAAUAUCAGUUUUACACGCGUGAUAUUGAUAAGGUUG
rnacentral:lncRNA from 1 species